AUUCAGAUAUUAUUUUAUGAAGAAGUAAACAAUAAAAUAAUUUGGUGUGCCAAUGGAAAGUUUGCUCCUCAUCAUGUUCAUCGCAAAGCAGCGAUAUCUUUUCAAACUCCUGCCUACAGAGAUGUAACUGUUCCCCAAGGUGUUGAUUGUUUUGUUCAGUUGCGCAGACCUUCAGAUGGAGCUGUUGGUAAACCUAGGACAUUUUGUUUUAUCCCAUUAAAACAAGAUCCUGAGGGUCUGGCUAGGAAGCGUAAUAAAUUUGAGGCACUAAGGCUUAGUCAAAUACUUCAACCAAGUAAUUUGCCUUCGAGUAGUAAUAAUGCUGAGCCAUUAGCUACACCUAGGGUUAUUAAACAAGC